UGACUGAGUGGCGGACGGGUGAGUAACGCGUGGGUAACCUGCCUCAUACAGGGGGAUAACAGUUAGAAAUGACUGCUAAUACCGCAUAAGACCACAGUACCGCAUGGUACAGGGGUAAAAACUCCGGUGGUAUGAGAUGGACCCGCGUCUGAUUAGGUAGUUGGUGGGGUAACGGCCUACCAAGCCGACGAUCAGUAGCCGACCUGAGAGGGUGACCGGCCACAUUGGGACUGAGACACGGCCCAA
rnacentral:rRNA from 1 species